rnacentral:misc_RNA from 1 species
GAGUAUCAUGCCCUUCGGGGUAGAUCUCCACCCUUGAAUAACAUACCUUUGUUGCUUUGGCAGGACGCACUCGUGCCAGGGGCUUCGGCUCUUGAGUGCCUGCCGAUUGGACAAUCAAUAACCUUUUUACUUUUUAAUCAGCGUCUGAUAAAUUUUAAUAAUUACAACUUUCAACAACGGAUCUCUUGGUUCU